rnacentral:lncRNA from 7 species
GCAGAUACCACUGUGUCCGUACACCGCAGGAGUGAGCUGCACUGACUGAAGAGCUGCAGGGCAGUGGCAGUAAAAGCAGGAUGCACAAGGGAGCUCCCCGAGGCAGUUUUGGUAUACAGGCUUUGAAAGAGGCUGAGAUGAAAUUCUGCAGCUGGGAGAAUAAAACCAUCAGAGAACCAAACUGGUCUAUUAAACAAGGGUCAAAGUGCUGACUGGGAUUCAUUUCUUCUGUUUGGAGAUAUCAAAUCUGAAAAUAAAAGUAAAAUGAAGACCACAUGUGCGUUGACCAUGAACACAGCAACGGAUCUAAACAGCUUGAAGACAUUCUGAGCAAGUGGUGAGAAUUACAAGCUCGAGUGUCUGAUGUUGACGAGCAUCGCACACAGUGAACACAACUUCAUGCUUACCUCAAUAAAACUACCAGUUACUAAG